UAGAGGAAGUAAAAGUCGUAACAAGGUCUCCGUAGGUGAACCUGCGGAGGGAUCAUUACACAAUAACAAGGCGGGUUGGACACCCCCCGCUGGGCACUGCUUCACGGCGUGCGCGGCGGGGCCGGCCCUGCUGAAUUAUUCACCCGUGUCUUUUGCGUACUUCUUGUUUCCUGGGUGGGCUCGCCCGCCCUCAGGACCAACCACAAACCUUUUGCAAUAGCAAUCAGCGUCAGUAACAACGUAAUUAAUUACAACUUUCAACAACGGAUCUCUUGGUUCUGGCAUCGAUGAAGAACGCAGCGAAAUGCGAUACGUAGUGUGAAUUGCAGAAUUCAGUGAAUCAUCGAAUCUUUGAACGCACAUUGCGCCCUUUGGUAUUCCAAAGGGCAUGCCUGUUCGAGCGUCAUUUGUACCCUCAAGCUUUGCUUGGUGUUGGGCGUCUUUUGUCUCCAGUUCGCUGGAAACUCGCCUUAAAGUCAUUGGCAGCCGGCCUACUGGUUUCGGAGCGCAGCACAAGUCGCGCUCUUCGCCAGCCAAGGUCAGCGUCCAGCAAGCCUUUUUUUCAACCUUUGACCUCGGAUCAGGUAGGGAUACCCGCUGAACUUAAGCAUA
rnacentral:rRNA from 1 species